rnacentral:rRNA from 1 species
CAGCCGCCGCGGUAACACCAGCCCCUCGAGUGGUGGGUACUAUUAUUUGGCCUAAAGCGUCCGUAGCCGGCUGAAGCCGUCACCCGUUAAAUCCAGCGUCUCAAGCGUUGGACUGCGGGUGAUACCCUUCAGCUUGAGGGUGGGACAGGUCAGCGGUAUUCCCGGGGUAGGGGCGAAAUCCUUUGAUCCCGGGAGGACCACCAGUGGCGAAGGCUGCUGACUAGAACACGCCUGACGGUCAGGGACGAAAGCUGGGGUAGCGAACCGGAUUAGAUACCCGGGUAGUCCCAGCUGUAAACGAUGCGCGCUAGGUGUUGGGUCGGCCACGCGCCGCCCCAGUGCCGCAGGGAAGCCGUUAAGCGCGCCGCCUGGGGAGUACGGCCGCAAGGCUGAAACUUAGAGGAAUUGGCGGGGGAGCAC